rnacentral:siRNA from 1 species
CCUUCUGGCCGAGGGCACGU